rnacentral:rRNA from 1 species
GACGAACGCUGGCGGCGUGCCUAACACAUGCAAGUCGAACGGGGUAAUUUCUUCGGAGAUUACUUAGUGGCGAACGGGUGAGUAACGCGUGAGAAACCUGCCUUUCAGUGGGGACAACAGUUGGAAACGACUGCUAAUACCGCAUGAUGUUUCGAGAGGGCAUCCUCUUGAAACCAAAGCUUUAUGUGCUGAAAGAUGGUCUCGCGUCUGAUUAGCUAGAUGGCGGGGUAACGGCCCACCAUGGCGACGAUCAGUAGCCGGUCUGAGAGGAUGAACGGCCACAUUGGGACUGAGAUACGGCCCAG